CAGCCAUAAACUAUGCGCGUUAGGUGUAUCGGUGACCACGAGUUACCGAGGUGCCGAAGGGAAACCGUGAAACGUGCCGCCUGGGAAGUACGGUCGCAAGGCUGAAACUUAAAGGAAUUGGCGGGGAGCACCACAACAGGUGGAGCCUGCGGUUUAAUUGGACUCAACGCCGGGAAGCUCACCGGAUAGGACAGCAGAAUGAUUGCCGGGCUGAAGACCCUGCAUGACUAGCUGAGAGGAGGUGCAUGGCGUAGACGUCU
rnacentral:rRNA from 1 species